rnacentral:lncRNA from 1 species
UUUUUUUUUUUUUUUUUAACUUUCAGGAUGAUAGUUACUGGUAUCAUUUGAUAACUUUAAUGAUUUCCCAACCUUAACCUAGACAACAGAAUUUUUUAUUUAUUUUUAUUUUUUGAUGAAAACAAGAAAUACAGUAGUGACACUUUGUUUUUCCUUCAAGCACAUGGGAGAAGACAAAAGUACUAAUAAUCAUCAUUGAGUUUGACAGAGAAAUUCUACUAGUACUUACACUGCUUAGGAACAUAAAUGUCAAGUACAUUACUAGGGCAAGAAGUAUCAAGUAAGACAACAGAGUCAUAUUUUUCUUUUUGAGGUUAUUUUCACAAGACAUAGCAACAAUUUGUAAAAUAUUCAGACUACUGAAAGAUCACAUUCAAAUUAUAUUUCUAAGAAUAGAGCCAUAUAUGAACAGAGAGCAGAACAAGCUAAUACAUUAAUGAAUAUUCACUGAAGUCUUCAUACUGCACAGGACACAAAUUUGGUAUUUUUGCACAUGUUGUCAAUUAUAAGCAAAAAGCAGGCCUGUAAACAUCAAUUUUGUCAUAGGCUGAAACGGAGAAAGGAAAUAGAUUUUACUCAAAAACAGUGACAUAAGGAGCAUACACCAUUAAUCUUCCACACAUAUAAAGGUCACUCCUAGGAUAAUCGAGAGGAAACACCCUUACAGUUUUGUUUACAAAAAUCUACUGGUGAAUUCAAGGACUUAGGAAAAAUUGAAGGAAAAUCUUCCUCCAAGCAUACGAUUUAAAUACCAGCUCCUCUUCCCUGGGGCACACCUCAGGGGCCUACCCUCCCACCCCUGACCCUGCAGGGUCUUUCCUGUAGGCCUUUCCAAACCCACUCCACAGCAGGCUCAUUUCUGCUCUGGACUUACUCAGUUUCCCAACCUAGACUAACCUCUCCACUGUGUGUGUUCAGACCUCCUCAACCCUAAAGGGGCUUAGGUCAAAGCCUUCAAAAUCGAAAGGGAAAAAUUCCCCUUAUCCCCUACAAGGAGGUUGGAGAUCUUCCAGAAUGCAGGCUGCAGCCUGCUUCUUCAUUUGUUAGGAGCAGGGAAGGAAAUGCAGAAGCUGAAAAAUGAGGGCCAAGAAAGCCAGGCAGUAGGAUGAAGACACAUGGGACAUCAGGGCAGGAACAAAGUAGUACAAAGGAGAAGAAUGACCUACAAAAUGCUACCCUUGGGUCAUUUCCAAGCAGUCCAAGGCCUAAAAAAGCAUUUCCAUCUUUAGAAAAGUGGAGUGAAGCUAAGUUUUGGUUGCCUUCGCUCACAUCCUGUUCAGGACCUGUCCUGAACCCAUCACUGUAAGGCCCUUCUCUCUCUUUCCAGCUUCUCAAACUAAAAGCUCAAGAAAUACACAGGUUUUGGUAGAAUGGAUAGGGUAAAAGAUAAAGAUGUCAAAACCUGCCUAAAAGAACACUGCCUAUAACUAAACAACCUAUAGGUCUCCCUUUGAAAUUGUCAGACCUUGCUAAAGGAAGUGGGGUGGAGGAAUAAGGGCAAUAAGAGAUCUGGAACCCAUUUAAUCAUACCUUUCCUCUCUGAACACAAUCAAGGAAAGAGCAAAUUAAACAAAAAGUCUGCUUUGCCAGUUUUGUUUUCUGUUCAUAAGCUAAAACUGCUUCAGAGUGAAAGGGAAGAAAAGAAGGGAUGGGAGGGAGAGGGGAAGGGGGAGGGAGAGAAAGAAAGAGACACAGAGACAGAGGCAUAAGAAGUCUCACAUUCCAGAAAUAUCUCUUCCUCAAUGCCCCAACUCUGGCAACUUUGUCAUGUUCAGAGUGGGAGCAGGCGGGGAAAAGAGGAAAUGCCUAAAGAAGUUGCUCAGAUUAAGGAUGGUUUGUUGGCUAGCAAUCAGAAAGACUAAGCUGGAAGGGACUGCGUUCCAGCCUUGCUUUGGGCACUGUCACAUAUGACUGCCCAUCCUGGUGGUAGGGGGUGUUCCUGUGAGCUCCCUGGGAGCUAUGUCUACAGAUAGUUCCUGAAGGCAGACAAUGGUGGCCUAAGCAAAGUUCAACCAGAAGGUGAGAGCAAGUAGGGCUGGGCUAUAGCACAGGCUUCAUACUUACCAGUAGCUGGUCAUGAUGUAGAGUAACCAAAGGUACAGGAACACCAAUGUGAUAUCAUAGAACACUUUUCAUCUAUUACCUCAUUCAUGCCUAGCAGUCACCCACCAGCCACCAGCUUGUUCUACCAGAUAACCAGUAGGGUGGAUGGCACAAGCCCAGGAAGGCAGCUGGGAUCCAGUUGGUGGUAGUCUGGAAUGUCCAAUUUGGGUUGACGGCUGGGUUAAGAUAUCAGUUUUGUCUUGCAGUGGUAAUACCUAAAGAGCUUACCAUAAGUACAUGGGUAUCAGGUACACAGCCAGCAUAAAGUAUGAAGCCCAGUAGUUAUUUGUGAAGAUGUAUCAAGAUUCUUUGUGGUACAGAACCACCUAAACUGGGAGAAGACCACGGUCACAGACAGGGUCCAAGCCAUGCAAAAGAAAGGCAGUAUGGUACAGUACAUCUAUAGUAUCAUGUUUGGCAUAGAAGCCGUAGAAGGCCAUGCACUUGAAACAUGUUAACACAAUGCAGAAAAGCAUGAAGGUCCAGAGGAAGAAUGGCAUGGGCAGGUAAGCCAAUAAUCUUGCAACUGAUUACUGAAGAUUUAGAAGAACCAAAGGAAAAGAUAAUCCGCAGUAUGAAGAGAAAGCAGACAGAAGACUGCAUGCUGUUGGCCAAGCAUAGGUCCAAGAGGAGGUGGUAAGGAAACUUGUGCAGAAGCUUCUCACAGGACAGAGAUUAACCAGACUGGAACCUGAAGGAUCUGGCGCUCUCCACUGGCUGCCUUGGUGGGCCUCGAAUUCCUCUACGGGGCCCUUCACCCAUCAGGUAGUAUUGUAGGGGAUUGGGCCACAGUUCUCCUUUGAUAAUCUCUGCAAUUCUGUCGAAUUCUAGAAGGCUGUGGUCUGAAAACCAGUUGAAGAAACUAGGGAUAGUGUUCCCUUCCCGGUUUCUGUGGAUAUGAGCCUGGGGAUCUUGGCCUCGGUGCCAGCGGAUUGGAGUGGAAAGAGACACCACUCGCCCGGAGGAUCUGCGCUCAUAUUCCUUGACGAGCCCCUCAUUUCGGAAGUAGGGGUUGCCCUGAAAGAUGAACUUGAAUUUGCAGCCUGCUCUGGGGUGUUUAAGCUCCUCCACCUCCAAAUUGAUCAUGUACCUCAGCAUGUCUUCAUCUUGGCCACUGAUCAUAGGUGACAGCUGGGGGUGGUUUCGAAAGGCAGUGACCCAGAAACCUGGGAUAUUUUGGAUAAUGAAACUUCUGCGCUGCAUGUGGAGUCUUCGCAUGCGGCCAAACUUGCGCUCAAGCUGAAGGAAGGCCCUGUCAGCCUGGGCAUUUACGUUUGACAACUCUUGAUCGAUGGCCUCCAGCGAGUCCAUGCAGUUAUUGAUCUUCGGGGCCCUGGGCCGUGUCUCCUCUUUCACCCCUCCUGCCACCUUUUUUUCCUUCUGCACUACCUUCUUUUCCUCCAUCACCGCCCCUGCUUCUCCCUCCUUUUCCACCGCUGCUGACAUGGCGCACUUUUUAGUCGUCACUUCCUUGGCCUUCUUCCUGGCUAUCAUCUGAGACCCCAACCCCCCUGCGCCACAGGCUUCUAGAGCCUUCUGCCCAGCAGGGCCACGGGGCUCUCCAAGCUGACAGCCAUUUUUCUGGCUGUUAUCAGCAGCCUUGGAGGCAGAGGCUGCUUCCAGACCUUUCGCAGAAGGUGGAGCAUCCUCCUGCCCGGCUUUGGUCGCCACACAGCCGCGACUCCCGGCAACUGGGACGCGGAGCGCGGGGCCGCAGUCAACAGGAUCCCGGGAUGCACCUCCCUCCGCAGCGGUCUCCAGGCUGCCCCCACCUGUGUUCGCCAUCACCUGUGUCGCCUCGGUUUCUUCAUGGAGCACUUGGCACUGGUCUAGGUCCGGAUCUCCUGAGGCAUGGUCGGGAGCAGCCAGGUCGCCGGUUUGGGCGAGAGGGAGCUUGUUGCCCCCAUCCAGGCCGCUCAUUUUGGUAGAAGUCAGACUGGCGGUAGAGGGAGAGUUCCUUGUCUCCGCAGCGGCCGCACUCUGCCC